GAGUUUGAUCGUGGCUCAGAUUGAACGCUGGCGGCAUGCCUUACACAUGCAAGUCGAACGGCAGCACGGGAGCUUGCUCCUGGUGGCGAGUGGCGAACGGGUGAGUAAUGCAUCGGAACGUAUCCUGGAGUGGGGGAUAACGUAGCGAAAGUUACGCUAAUACCGCAUAUUCUGUGAGCAGGAAAGCGGGGGACCUUCGGGCCUCGCGCUCUUGGAGCGGCCGAUGUCGGAUUAGCUAGUUGGUGAGGUAAAGGCUCACCAAGGCGACGAUCCGUAGCAGGUCUGAGAGGAUGAUCUGCCACACUGGAACUGAGACACGGUCCAGACUCCUACGGGAGGCGGCAGUGGGGAAUUUUGGACAAUGGGGGCAACCCUGAUCCAGCCAUGCCGCGUGAGUGAAGAAGGCCUCGG
rnacentral:rRNA from 1 species